rnacentral:sRNA from 1 species
CAUCCCCGUGACCCCUCUUCAGGCACCCACCACCCUGAUGGUGACAGAGGGGGACAGCCAGCACCCAUCUGUCCCCGUCAGGGCUCUUGUUCUCACAGCCCCCUGGAGCAUGCCCCAUGCCCCAACCUUGGGCCUGGCUCCUGGCCCAGAUGGCACCUGGCCUCUUGAGUCUGCUGGGGGACCCCAAAGUUGGUGGUCCCAUAGCCUGCCUUCCUGGGUCUCCACCUCAUGCCUGGACAGGACGCUGUGGCCUGUCCGGGCCUUGGCCAACCCUGCAGCUGCACCCCCGAUCCUCAUCCCUCACCCCAUUCCCUGCCAGCAUCCUAAGGCUCCUGGCGGGCAUCCUCUCUGCUCAAAAUUAUUGACCUGUUUCCUGGCCACACCUGCUGUGCCCUCUCAGCCAGGCCAUCAUCACCCCCUGUUCAUUAUGUCAGGCCUCAUGGGAGCCUGGCCUUCUCCAGAAGCUGGCCCCGGCGUCCUCCCAAGCUGGACCACGGCUGAAUGAGGAACGCGCCACUGGACACAUGAGGAAGAGGCUGCUCUGGGAGCUACUGAUGCUGUGACCUCACCUCUCUGGCUUUGGGCGGCAGGUCCCUGCACCUAGGAUGCCUGCCUGGAAAUGUCCUUGCAUUCGUGGCCUCCUUCGCAGCCUCCUCCUCAGAGAAGCCUCUGCGAGUGCACAGGGAGUGUGCGCAGCCUUGUGAAGGGCUGGGACCACUUGCCCAGACUGGGGCCCCUCGGGCACAGGCGUGGGGUCCUACUGACCUGUCUCCCCAGCUCCCACACAGAAAGCAUCUAAAAU